rnacentral:rRNA from 1 species
UACGAGGGGUCCUAGCGUUGUUCGGAAUCACUGGGCGUAAAGCGUAUGUAGGCGGGCUUCUAAGUCAGAUGUGAAAUCCCAUGGCUCAACCAUGGAAUUGCAUUUGAAACUGGAGGUCUUGAGUGUGGGAGAGAUUGGUAGAAUACCUAGUGUAGUGGUGAAAUACGUAGAUAUUAGGUGGAAUACCGGAGGCGAAGGCGCAAUUGGCCCAACAGUCGACGCUGAGAAUACGAAA